GGUUAAGUGACUAAGCGUACACGGUGGAUGCCUAGGCAGUCAGAGGCGAUGAAGGGCGUGCUAAUCUGCGAAAAGCGUCGGUAAGGUGAUAUGAACCGUUACAACCGGCGAUACCCGAAUGGGGAAACCCAGUGUGUUUCGACACACUAUCAUGUCAUGAAUACAUAGUGGCAUGAGGCGAACCGGGGGAACUGAAACAUCUAAGUACCCCGAGGAAAAGAAAUCAACCGAGAUUCCCCCAGUAGCGGCGAGCGAACGGGGAGGAGCCCAGAACCUGAAUCGGCUUGUGUGUUAGUGGAAGCGUCUGGAAAGUCGCGCAGCAAAGGGUGAUAGCCCCGUACACUAAAAUGCACAGGUCGUGAGUUCGAUGAGUAGGGCGGGACACGUGACAUCCUGUCUGAAUAUGGGGGGACCAUCCUCCAAGGCUAAAUACUCCUGACUGACCGAUAGUGAACCAGUACCGUGAGGGAAAGGCGAAAAGAACCCCGGCGAGGGGAGUGAAAUAGAACCUGAAACCGUGUACGUACAAGCAGUGGGAGCACCUUCGUGGUGUGACUGCGUACCUUUUGUAUAAUGGGUCAGCGACUUAUAUUUUGUAGCAAGGUUAACCGUAUAGGGGAGCCGUAGGGAAACCGAGUCUUAACUGGGCGAAUAGUUGCAAGGUAUAGACCCGAAACCCGGUGAUCUAGCCAUGGGCAGGUUGAAGGUUGGGUAACACUAACUGGAGGACCGAACCGACUAAUGUUGAAAAAUUAGCGGAUGACUUGUGGCUGGGGGUGAAAGGCCAAUCAAACCGGGAGAUAGCUGGUUCUCCCCGAAAGCUAUUUAGGUAGCGCCUCGUGAACUCAUCUUCGGGGGUAGAGCACUGUUUCGGCUAGGGGGCCAUCCCGGCUUACCAAACCGAUGCAAACUCCGAAUACCGAAGAAUGUUAUCACGGGAGACACACGGCGGGUGCUAACGUCCGUCGUGAAGAGGGAAACAACCCAGACCGCCAGCUAAGGUCCCAAAGUCAUGGUUAAGUGGGAAACGAUGUGGGAAGGCACAGACAGCCAGGAUGUUGGCUUAGAAGCAGCCAUCAUUUAAAGAAAGCGUAAUAGCUCACUGGUCGAGUCGGCCUGCGCGGAAGAUGUAACGGGGCUAAACCAUGCACCGAAGCUGCGGCAGCGACGCUUAGGCGUUGUUGGGUAGGGGAGCGUUCUGUAAGCCGUUGAAGGUGGCCUGUGAGGGUUGCUGGAGGUAUCAGAAGUGCGAAUGCUGACAUAAGUAACGAUAAAGCGGGUGAAAAGCCCGCUCGCCGGAAGACCAAGGGUUCCUGUCCAACGUUAAUCGGGGCAGGGUGAGUCGACCCCUAAGGCGAGGCUGAAAAGCGUAGUCGAUGGGAAACAGGUUAAUAUUCCUGUACUUGGUGUUACUGCGAAGGGGGGACGGAGAAGGCUAGGCUAGCCGGGCGACGGUUGUCCCGGUUUAAGCGUGUAGGGGGUGUGACCUGGUAAAUCCGGUUGCAUACUAACCCUGAGGCGUGAUGACGAUGCACUACGGUGCAGAAGUAGUUGAUGCCCUGCUUCCAGGAAAAUCCUCUAAGCUCCAGGUAACAUUNNNNNNNNNNNNNNNNNNNNNNNNNNNNNNNNNNNNNNNNNNNNNNNNNNNNNNNNNNNNNNNNNNNNNNNNNNNNNNNNNNNNNNNNNNNNNNNGAAGCCAGUCGAAGAUACCAGCUGGCUGCAACUGUUUAAUAAAAACACAGCACUGUGCAAACACGAAAGUGGACGUAUACGGUGUGACGCCUGCCCGGUGCUGGAAGGUUAAUUGAUGGGGUCAGCCGCAAGGCGAAGCUCUUGAUCGAAGCCCCAGUAAACGGCGGCCGUAACUAUAACGGUCCUAAGGUAGCGAAAUUCCUUGUCGGGUAAGUUCCGACCUGCACGAAUGGCGUAAUGAUGGCCAGGCUGUCUCCACCCGAGACUCAGUGAAAUUGAACUCGCUGUGAAGAUGCAGUGUACCCGCGGCAAGACGGAAAGACCCCGUGAACCUUUACUAUAGCUUGACACUGAACAUUGAGCCUUGAUGUGUAGGAUAGGUGGGAGGCUUUGAAGCGUGGACGCCAGUCUGCGUGGAGCCAUCCUUGAAAUACCACCCUUUAAUGUUUGAUGUUCUAACUCUGCCCCAUAAUCUGGGGUGAGGACAGUGUCUGGUGGGUAGUUUGACUGGGGCGGUCUCCUCCCAAAGAGUAACGGAGGAGCACGAAGGUUAGCUAAUCACGGUCGGACAUCGUGAGGUUAGUGCAAAGGCAUAAGCUAGCUUGACUGCGAGAGUGACGGCUCGAGCAGGUACGAAAGUAGGUCUUAGUGAUCCGGUGGUUCUGAAUGGAAGGGCCAUCGCUCAACGGAUAAAAGGUACUCCGGGGAUAACAGGCUGAUACCGCCCAAGAGUUCAUAUCGACGGCGGUGUUUGGCACCUCGAUGUCGGCUCAUCACAUCCUGGGGCUGAAGUAGGUCCCAAGGGUAUGGCUGUUCGCCAUUUAAAGUGGUACGCGAGCUGGGUUUAGAACGUCGUGAGACAGUUCGGUCCCUAUCUGCCGUGGGCGUUGGAAGAUUGAGAGGGGUUGCUCCUAGUACGAGAGGACCGGAGUGAACGCACCACUGGUGUUCGGGUUGUCAUGCCAAUGGCAUUGCCCGGUAGCUAAGUGCGGAAAAGAUAAGCGCUGAAAGCAUCUAAGCGCGAAACUUGCCUCAAGAUGAGUCUUCCCUGGGCCUUUAAGGCCCCUGAAGGAACGUUUAAGACUAAGACGUUGAUAGGCUGGGUGUGUAAGUGCAGCGAUGCAUUGAGCUAACCAGUACUAAUGAUCCGUGAGGCUUAACCUU
rnacentral:rRNA from 1 species